CUUCGGGUGAAGGUGGCGGACGGGUGAGUAACGCGUAAAGAACUUGCCUUACAGACUGGGACAACAUUUGGAAACGAAUGCUAAUACCGGAUAUUAUGAUUGGGUCGCAUGAUCUGAUUAUGAAAGCUAUAUGCGCUGUGAGAGAGCUUUGCGUCCCAUUAGUUAGUUGGUGAGGUAACGGCUCACCAAGACGAUGAUGGGUAGCCGGCCUGAGAGGGUGAACGGCCACAAGGGGACUGAGACACGGCCCUUACUCCUACGGGAGGCAGCAGUGGGGAAUAUUGGACAAUGGACCAAAAGUCUGAUCCAGCAAUUCUGUGUGCACGAAGAAGUUUUUCGGAAUGUAAAGUGCUUUCAGUUGGGAAGAAGUCAGUGACGGUACCAACAGAAGAAGCGACGGCUAAAUACGUGCCAGCAGCCGCGGUAAUACGUAUGUCGCAAGCGUUAUCCGGAUUUAUUGGGCGUAAAGCGCGUCUAGGCGGCUUAGUAAGUCUGAUGUGAAAAUGCGGGGCUCAACCCCGUAUUGCGUUGGAAACUGCUAAACUAGAGUACUGGAGAGGUAGGCGGAACUACAAGUGUAGAGGUGAAAUUCGUAGAUAUUUGUAGGAAUGCCGAUGGGGAAGCCAGCCUACUGGACAGAUACUGA
rnacentral:rRNA from 1 species